CUGAAGGUGGCAGGAGAAGAUAAAACCAAAAUUCAGGGUUUGCUUUUUAAAUACCAUGCUAGUAAAAUCAGAACAGUAAUGACGGGAACCAAAAGAUCUAUCUGAAAUGUUCCUAAGACAGAUGUGAGGACGCACAAUGUAAACGUUAUGCAGCAGCUUUGGGAGAGGCUUUUUAUGGCUCUGUUUCUUUCCACUCACAGCACAGACUCGAGAAAUGUAGGGAACUCGAGAGCAGCCACUCGGCCCCAGGAUCAACCCAGCACCGAAGAAAAACAACCAGAAGAAAUUAUUCUUCAGCCUGAAAUGAAGCCGGGAUCAAAUGGUUGCUGAUCAGAGCCCAUAUUUAAAUUGGAAAAGUCAAAUUGAGCAUUAUUAAAUAAAGCUUGUUUAAUAUGUCUCAAACAGAAA
rnacentral:lncRNA from 1 species